rnacentral:rRNA from 1 species
CCUACGGGUGGCAGCAGUGGGGGAUAUUGCACAAUGGGGGGAACCCUGAUGCAGCGACGCCGCGUGGGUGAAGAAGCGCCUCGGCGCGUAAAGCCCCGUCAGCAGGGAAGAAAAUGACGGUACCUGAAGAAGAAGCCCCGGCUAACGACGUGCCAGCAGCCGCGGUAAUACGUAGGGGGCCAGCGUUAUCCGGAUUUACUGGGUGUAAAGGGGGCGCAGACGGCGGUGCAAGCCAGGAGUGAAAGCCCGGGGGCCAACCCCGGGACUGCUCUUGGAACUGCGGGGCUGGAGUGCAGGAGGGGCAGGCGGAAUGCCUGGUGUAGCGGUGAAAUGCGUAGAUAUCAGGAGGAACACCGGUGGCGAAGGCGGCCUGCUGGACUGCAACUGACGUUGAGGCCCGAAAGCGUGGGGAGCAAACAGGAUUAGAUACCCGAGUAGUC